UUCCUUCACACAUCUACUGACUUCAUAUAAAUGAAAGUGUACUGAGGACUCACUAAUCUGCACUACCAGUAACAAAGUAAUCCGACAAUCAGACUGGACCCGGUCAUGUUAGAAGAUACCAAAGAUAGGGGAUGAACAUACAAUCGAUUCUGCAUCGAUGCAUAACUUCGCUCGGAACGCGGCAAGAAUUAACAAUGGAAGAAAAUACUACAGACGUGUUUAUUAACAAUAAAGUUAUUUUUGUUUUUAUGAAAUAGCGAUUGAAUAAAAAUAUUAGGUAUAUGAGUUUUAUUUAGAGAUGAAAUAAGUCAGAAAUACAGCACACCCACUCGUCUUCACAACAACAAAUGUAGCCUGGUAAGGCUAAUAAAAUAAGGUUCUUAAAAUUCUGGUUACUUGGCACCAAAAGUAACCUUGCAACGGCUACUUCCUAUUAUUUAUUUGUAAACCUUGGUAUCCAAGAUGUGUUCUACAGAGCACAUCUUAGAUCCCUUGGUCACGGAACCAAAUGUAACUA